rnacentral:rRNA from 1 species
AUUGAACGCUGGCGGCAUGCCUUACACAUGCAAGUCGAGCGGCAGCGCGGGGGCAACCCUGGCGGCGAGCGGCGAACGGGUGAGUAAUACAUCGGAACGUGUCCUGUCGUGGGGGAUAACCAGUCGAAAGAUUGGCUAAUACCGCAUUACCUCGUAAGAGAAAAGCGGGGGAUCGCAAGAUCUCGGCCGAUUGGAGCGGACGAUGUCGGAUGAGCUAGUUGGCGGGGUAAAAGCCCACCAAGGCGACGAUCCGUAGCUGGUUUGAGAGAACGACCAGCAACACUGGGACUGAGACACGGCCCAGACUCGUACGGGAGGCAGCAGUGGGGAAUUUUGGACAAUGGGGGCAACCCUGAUCCAGCCAUGCCGCGUGUGUGAAGAAGGCCUUCGGGUUGUAUAGCACUUUCGGCCGGAACGAAAUCGCGCGGGUGAACAUCCCGCGUGGAUGACGGUACCGGAAGAAGAAGCACCGGCUAACUACGUGCCAGCCGCCGCCGUAA